rnacentral:rRNA from 1 species
UACGGAGGAUGCGAGCGUUAUCCGGAUUUAUUGGGUUUAAAGGGUGCGUAGGCGGUCCGGAAAGUCAGCGGUAAAAGCCCGGGGCUCAACCCCGGCGAGCCGUUGAAACUGUCGGACUAGAGACGGCGAGAAGUACGCGGAAUGCGCGGUGUAGCGGUGAAAUGCAUAGAUAUCGCGCAGAACUCCGAUUGCGAAGGUAGCGUACCGGCGCCGGACUGACGCUGAGGCACGAAAGCGUGGGUAUCGAACAGG